UAUUUUUUAGGUAACAAAUAUUAUCUUUCAAACAAAUUUAUUUUUUUAGAAAUUUAUUUAAUUUAUUUCCUUCAUUUUCCGUUCCUAAAAAAUAGGAAAUGAUGAGUUGUUAUUAAAUUUUAGGGUGCCGCUAAUUUAUUUCUUUAAUUUUCUUAUACAUGAAAGAUUUUACUGUGUGUGAAUACAUUAUUUCUAUGUAAAACAUGCUUUGCAUAUUUAUGGUAUAUU
rnacentral:lncRNA from 1 species